rnacentral:RNase_P_RNA from 1 species
ACAGCAGGCCGGUCUGCCGCUGGCCCACACGCGCAAGCGCAAGGGCGAGAGGAAAGUCCGGGCAGCACAGGGCAUCCCGCUUCCUAACAGAAAGAGGCUCGCGAGAGCCUGCCGAUGUAGAAGAAAACAACCGCCUUGCCUGGGCAAGGUAAGGGUGAGAAGGUGGGGCAAGAGCCCACCAGGCCAGUGGUGACACUGGUGCUGUACAUCCCGGGAGCUGAAAGUUCAUGUAAACCGGCGACACAAAGAGAGGGCGGCCCGUCCAAGCCGGAGGGUAGAACGAUAGAGGCUGGUGGUGACACCAGCACUGGAUAAAUGGCAGACACCCCGUACCAAGGGGCACACAGAACCCGGCUUACAGGCCAGCUGUCCUU